GGGCGCAUAGCUCAGGGGUAGAGCGCUCGCUUUGCAUUCUCCUUACAUCGCAUGCGAGAGGUCGUGGGUUCAAUUCCCACUGUGUCCA
rfam:Cladophialophora psammophila CBS 110553 aczJe-supercont1.15, whole genome shotgun sequence.